UGGCUGUCAUGUAAAAAGAACAGAUUUCCA
rnacentral:piRNA from 1 species